rnacentral:rRNA from 1 species
AUUGAACGCUGGCGGCAGGCCUAACACAUGCAAGUCGAGCGGAUGAAGAGAGCUUGCUCUCUGAUUUAGCGGCGGACGGGUGAGUAAUGCCUAGGAAUCUGCCUGGUAGUGGGGGAUAACGUUCCGAAAGGAACGCUAAUACCGCAUACGUCCUACGGGAGAAAGCAGGGGACCUUCGGGCCUUGCUCUAUCAGAUGAGCCUAGGUCGGAUUAGCUAGUUGGUGAGGUAAUGGCUCACCAAGGCGACGAUCCGUAACUGGUCUGAGAGGAUGAUCAGUCACACUGGAACUGAGACACGGUCCAGACUCCUACGGGAGGCAGCAGUGGGGAAUAUUGGACAAUGGGCGAAAGCCUGAUCCAGCCAUGCCGCGUGUGUGGAGAAGGUCUUCGGAUUGUAAAGCACUUUAAGUUGGGAGGAAGGGCAGUAAGUUAAUACCUUGCUGUUUUGACGUUACCGACAGAAUAAGCACCGGCUAACUUCGUGCCAGCCGCCGCAGUAAAAC